rnacentral:rRNA from 1 species
UACGUAGGGUGCAGGCGUUAAUCGGAAUUACUGGGCGUAAAGCGUGCGUAGGCGGUUUCUUAAGUCAGAUGUGAAAGCCCCGGGCUUAACCUGGGAACUGCGUUUGAAACUGGGAGACUUGAGUGUGGCAGAGGGGGGUGGAAUUCCACGUGUAGCAGUGAAAUGCGUAGAUAUGUGGAGGAACACCGAUGGCGAAGGCAGCCCCCUGGGUUAACCCUGACGCUCAUGCACGAAAGCGUGGGGAGCAAACAGG